rnacentral:rRNA from 1 species
UUCGGAUUGCAGGCUGCAACCCGCCUGCAUGAAGUUGGAAUCGCUAGUAAUCGCGGAUCAGCAUGCCGCGGUGAAUACGUUCCCGGGCCUUGUACACACCGCCCGUCACACCAUGAGAGUCGGGAACACCCGAAGUCCGUAGCCUGACCGCAAGGGGGGCGCGGCCGAAGGUGGGUUCGAUAAUUGGGGUGAAGUCGUAACAAGGUACC